AACGAACGCUGGCGGCAGGCCUAACACAUGCAAGUCGAGCGAGGACUUCGGUCCUAGCGGCGAAAGGGUGAGUAACGCGUGGGAACGUGCCCUUUGCUUCGGAAUAGCCCUGGGAAACUGGGAGUAAUACCGGAUGAGCCCUUUGGGGGAAAGAUUUAUCGGCGAAGGAUCGGCCCGCGUUGGAUUAGGUAGUUGGUGGGGUAAUGGCCUACCAAGCCGACGAUCCAUAGCUGGUUUGAGAGGAUGAUCAGCCACACUGGGACUGAGACACGGCCCAGACUCCUACGGGAGGCAGCAGUGGGGAAUCUUAGACAAUGGGGGAAACCCUGAUCUAGCCAUGCCGCGUGAGCGAUGCAGGCCUUAGGGUUGUAAAGCUCUUUCAGCCCCGAAGCUACUGACGUCCCCAGCAGAAUAAGCUCCGGCCACCUCCGUG
rnacentral:rRNA from 1 species